GCUGGGUGUGGUAGUGCAUGCCUGUAAUCCCAGCAGCUUAGGAGGCUGAGGCAGGAGGAUCACGAGUUCAAAGCCAGCCCCAGCAAAAGUGAGGCAUUAAGCAACUCAGUGAGACCCUGUCUCUA
rnacentral:sRNA from 1 species